rnacentral:misc_RNA from 1 species
AACGCAUCUUGCGCUCCUUGGUAUUCCGAGGAGCAUGCCUGUUUGAGUGUCAUGAACGUAACUCAAUCCCUUCCCUUUGUGGCGAAGAGGCUUGGAAUUUGGAUGCUGCAGCAGAGGAGUCACUUAAGAUGACUUUGCGGCUCGUCUUGAAAUGCAUAUAACUGGUCCCAUUGUGCGACCUUGGUCGAAGGGAGUAGUGGUGUGGUAAUAAUGCCUUUAACGCCUGAUUUCUUUCGACGGGUCUAUCUUUGAAAAGGGGAGUGGUUUAUUUGUCCAUUUACUGGACUGUCUCGGAUAAGAGGCACUUGUUGUUUGACCUCAAAUCAGGUAGGACUACCCGCUGAACUUAA